AUUGAACGCUGGCGGCAGGCCUAACACAUGCAAGUCGAACGGUAGCACAGAGAGCUUGCUCUCGGGUGACGAGUGGCGGACGGGUGAGUAAUGUCUGGGAAACUGCCCGAUGGAGGGGGAUAACUACUGGAAACGGUAGCUAAUACCGCAUAACGUCGCAAGACCAAAGUGGGGGACCUUCGGGCCUCACACCAUCGGAUGUGCCCAGAUGGGAUUAGCUAGUAGGCGGGGUAAUGGCUCACCUAGGCGACGAUUCCUAGCUGGUCUGAGAGGAUGACCAGCCACACUGGAACUGAGACACGGUCCAGACUCCUACGGGAGGCAGCAGUGGGGAAUAUUGCACAAUGGGCGCAAGCCUGAUGCAGCCAUGCCGCGUGUAUGAAGAAGGCCUUCGGGUUGUAAAGUACUUUCAGCGGGGAGGAAGGCGGUGAAGUUAAUAACUUCACCGAUUGACGUUACCCGCAGAAGAAGCACCGGCUAACUCCGUGCCAGCCGCCGCAGUAA
rnacentral:rRNA from 1 species